UACGGGGGGGGCAAGCGUUGUUCGGAAUUACUGGGCGUAAAGGGUUCGUAGGCGGCCAACUAAGUCAGACGUGAAAUCCCUCGGCUUAACCGGGGAACUGCGUCUGAUACUGGAUGGCUUGAGGUUGGGAGAGGGAUGCGGAAUUCCAGGUGUAGCGGUGAAAUGCGUAGAUAUCUGGAGGAACACCGGUGGCGAAGGCGGCAUCCUGGACCAAUUCUGACGCUGAGGAGCGAAAGCCAGGGGAGCAAACGGG
rnacentral:rRNA from 1 species